rnacentral:misc_RNA from 1 species
AAAACAAACAAAAACAAUAAUAUAAAAAAUAUGGGAAUGUUGUGUGUUCUCACACACAUUCUCAUAUAUAUUUUUUAUUUAUUCAUU